ensembl:lncRNA
GUGUGCAGAGACACUGAGGUGGGGUGGAUCCAUGGAGGAGGCGUGCAGAGACACUGAGGUGGGUGGAUCCAUGGAGGAGGCAGAGACACUGAGGUGGGGUGGAUCCAUGGAGGAGGCAGAGACACUGAGGUGGUGUGGAUCCAUGGAGGAGGCAGAGACACUGAGGUGGGGUGGAUCCAUGGAGGAGGCAGAGACACUGAGGUGGGGUGGAUCCAUGGAGGAGGCAGAGACACUGAGGUGGGGUGGAUCCAUGGAGGAGGCAGAGACACUGAGGUGGGGUGGAUCCAUGGAGGAGGCAGAGACACUGAGGUGGUGUGGAUCCAUGGAGGAGGCAGAGACACUGAGGUGGGGUGGAUCCAUGGAGGAGGCAGAGACACUGAGGUGGGGUGGAUCCAUGGAGGAGGCAGAGACACUGAGGUGGGAUGGAUCCAUGGAGGAGGCAGAGACACUGAGGUGGAUCCAUGGAGGAGGCAGAGACACCGAGGUGGGGUGGAUCCAUGGAGGAGGCGUGCAGAGACACUGAGGUGGGUGGAUCCAUGGAGGAGGCGUGCAGAGACACUGAGGUGGGGUGGAUCCAUGGAGGAGGCAGAGACACCGAGGUGGGGUGGAUCCAUGGAGGAGGCAGAGACACUGAGGUGGAUCCAUGGAGGAGGCAGAGACACCGAGGUGGGGUGGAUCCAUGGAGGAGGCGUGCAGAG